GGUGUGCCUUAGGCAUGCAGUCGGACGAGAAUCUUAUCUUCGGAUAGAGGAUAGUGGCAGACGGGUGAGUAACGCGUGGGAAUCUACCCAUUAGUGGGGAAUAGCCCCUCGAAAGAGGGAUUAAUACCGCAUAAGCUCUACGGAGGAAAGUCUUCGGACGCUGAUGGAGGAGCCCGCGUCCUAUCAGGUAGUUGGUGAGUUAAAAGCCUACCAAGCCUAUAACGGGUAGCCGGUGUGAGAGCACGACCGGCCACAAGGUCACUGAAACACGGGGCCUACACCUACGGGUGGCAGCAACCGGGAAUCUUGCGCAAUGGGCGAAAGCCUGACGCAGCGACACCGCGUGUGGGAAGAAGCUCUUUGAAGUGUAAACCACUGUGGCGAGGGAAGAAUUUUGACGGUACCUCGCUAGAAAGCACCUGCUAACUACGUGCCAGAAGCCUCGGUAAUACGUAGGGUGCAAGCGUUAUCCGGAUUUACUGGGCGUAAAGGGUUUCGUCGGCGUUUUCGUAAGUUUAUUGUUUAAACCUGGGGCUCAACUCCAGAAAGGCAAUAAAUACUGCAAAAAUUGAGUCUGUUCGGGGAAGCUGGAAUUCUCGGUGGAGGGGUGAAAUCCGUAGAUAUCGAGAGGAACACCAUACGCGAAAGCAGGUUUCUAGAACAGUACUGACGCUCAUGAACGAAAGCUUGGGGAGCAAAAGGGAUUAGAGACCCCUGUAGUCCAAGCCGUAAACGAUCCUCGCUAGUUGCUUGUUCCUUAAGGAAUGGGUAGCGUAAGCUAACGCGUUAAGCGGGGCGCCUGGGGAUUACAGCCGCAAGGCUAAAACUCAAAGGAAUUGACGGGGGAGCGCACAACCGGUGGAGCAUGUGGUUUAAUUCGAUACAAAGCGAAGAACCUUACCUGGGUUUGACAUCCCGCUGCACGCUCUAAGAAAUUAGAGUUCUUUCGAAGGGGCGGGACAGGUGAUGCAUGGCUGUCGUCAGCUCGUGUCGUGAGACGUCCGCUUAAGUGCGGUAACGAGCGCAACCCUUAUUGUCAGUUAUAUUUGUCUGACAAAACUGCUUCGCUUAUGGCGAGGAGGAAGGAGAGGACGACGUCAAGUCAGCAUGUCCCUUAUAUCCAGGGCGACACACAUCCUACAAUGGAGCCGACAACGGGUAGCGACAGGGUAACCUCGAGCCAAUCCCAAUAAACGGCCCCUCAGUUCAGAUUGUGGGCUGCAACCCGCCCACAUGAAGUCGGAAUCGGUAGUAAUCGCAAAUCAGCAGGUUGCGGUGAAUACGUUCUCGCUCCUUGUACACACUGCCCGUCAAGCCAGCAAAGUCAGCAGCACCCGAAGCGGAUGACUCUAACUUCUUUUGAAGAGGAGCUCUGUUACGGUGAAGUUGGCGAUGAGGACUAAGUCGU
rnacentral:rRNA from 1 species